CCCAGCGGAGCACCAAGUGCCUGAAGUCGGGGACAGGGUGGGCGCGCGCCCGCGCCAGCUCGCUCGCGGGAGCCGCUGCGCCGCAGGCAGCCGCGGAGGCAGGACCGGCGCUGGCCAUGCUGUGCCGUGCCGUGCCGUGCCAUGGCGGUGCCAGGGCGCCGGAGGGGGCGGCGCGGCCGUGCCGUGUGUGUAGCAGUGCGUGCCGUGUCGUCGUAGACCCAGUCGAUGUCUCAUGUAGCGCAGAGGUGCCCUGUAGCUCAGUGCCUAGGAGGUGACGUAGCGCCUCGAAUAAACGCAACGCGUGGAGUUUUACCCCGCCGGAGUCGUGUGCUCCCUGGGCUUCCCGAAUUGCUGUGGCCUGCUGGGGCAAUGCCCCCCGAAGGGCRCCCCAGGGCAGAGCACCGUGCUCUGCGGCGUGGCCCAGGCACGGCCGGAGCGGCUCAGCGGAGCAAUGCAAGCGCCAGCGCCGGGUGCUCCGUUUGCAGAGGGAGGGCUGGGCAGGGGGUGCGCUGCCUGAUCGCAGCCUUGCUCCUGCCCGGCCUCUCCCGCAGGCGAGGAGAAAAGGCAGCCAGCGUGAUCCCUGGACGGGCAGCAAGGAUCGCGAGACGGGGAGCCAAAUUACUGCAGAGCGUGGCAUUAGCUAGAGCGCUGCUGGAGCCGGCUGCUUCGUCUGCCGUGAGCGUCACGCGGGAAAAGUUGGAAAUGGUUCAGACAAGAAAAGGACCAGAAUCCUGCCCAAACGACGGGAAGAGAGAGGCUAGAGCGAUAGCCAAGGACAGGUCAGGAUGGAUGGAGAAAUCUUCAGUCAAAAGGCAAAAUAAAUCACGAUGGCCUUGAACGCGCUGGAAGACUGACACAGCACUGACUGCAGGGUUCCUUAUUUACACGAGGGACCACACAGCCUCUGGACGCAGAGCAAAUCAGCCCUGGGGCAGCCGCGCUCCCAGGGAGAGCGGGCACUGGCGUCCGGAGCAGCCCCGGGGGUCCCUGCGGCAGGUCCCAUCCCGGGAACGCCGCGGGGAUCCGCUCAGCCAGGGGGGCGGCGAGGAAGGGCCGUGGGGCGGCGAGCGGGCCGAGACUGGGGUGUGAUCCUGGGGGACCAUAGCCCCAGAGUGAGAUCCCAGGCCCCCAGCCCCAUGUGUGAUCCCAGGCCCCAGCCCCACAAGUGAUCCCAGGCCCCUCAGCCCC
rnacentral:lncRNA from 1 species